rnacentral:rRNA from 1 species
AUUGAACGCUGGCGGCAUGCCUUACACAUGCAAGUCGAACGGCAGCACGGGUGCUUGCACCUGGUGGCGAGUGGCGAACGGGUGAGUAAUACAUCGGAACAUGUCCUGUAGUGGGGGAUAGCCCGGCGAAAGCCGGAUUAAUACCGCAUACGAUCUACGGAUGAAAGCGGGGGACCUUCGGGCCUCGCGCGAUUGGGUUGGGCGAUGGCUGAUUAGCUAGUUGGUGGGGUAAAGGCCUACCAAGGCGACGAUCAGUAGCUGGUCUGAGAGGACGACCAGCCACACUGGGACUGAGACACGGCCCAGACUCCUACGGGAGGCAGCAGUGGGGAAUUUUGGACAAUGGGCGAAAGCCUGAUCCAGCAAUGCCGCGUGUGUGAAGAAGGCCUUCGGGUUGUAAAGCACUUUUGUCCGGAAAGAAAUCCUUGGCCCUAAUACGGUCGGGGGAUGACGGUACCGGAAGAAUAAGCACCGGCUAACUACGUG